GAGAAGUUUUGGAUCGAGGCUGCUAACUUUGAUCUGGGGCCCAGGCGGCUCCGCUUCUUU
rnacentral:tRNA from 1 species